rnacentral:rRNA from 1 species
UACGAAGGGGGCUAGCGUUGCUCGGAAUCACUGGGCGUAUAGGGUGCGUAGGCGGGUCUUUGAGUCAGGGGUGAAAUCCUGGAGCUCAACUCCAGAACUGCCUUUGAUACUGAAGAUCUUGAGUUCGGGAGAGGUGAGUGGAACUGCGAGUGUAGAGGUGAAAUUCGUAGAUAUUCGCAAGAACACCAGUGGCGAAGGCGGCUCACUGGCCCGAUACUGACGCUGAGGCACGAAAGCGUGGGGAGCAAACAGG